rnacentral:rRNA from 1 species
UAAUGUGCUAAUACCGCAUAACAACAGAAAGCGCAUGCUUUUUGUUUGAAAACCGAUGUGGUAUGGGAUGGACCCGCGUCUGAUUAGCUGGUUCGGCGGGGUAAAGGCCCACCAUUGCCACGAUCAUGAUCCGGCCUGAGAGGGUGGACGUGCCACAUUGGCGACUGAGACUCAGACCAAACUCCUACUGGAGGCGGCAGUGGGGAAUAUUGCUCUUUGGGGGAAACCCUGAUGCUGCUACACCGCGUGAGCGAAAAAGUAUUUCGGUAUCUGAACCUCUAUCUCCGUGGAAUAUAAAAAAAGGUACCUGACUAAAAUGCCCCUGCUAUCUACGUGCCUACUUCCACGGUAAUACCUAAGGGGCUAGCGUUAUCCGGAUUUACUGGGUGUAAAGGGAGCGCGGACGGCUGUUUAAGUCAGAAGUGAAAGCCCAUUGCUUAACGAUGGGACUGCUUCUGAAACUAAGGAGCUAGAGUGCAGGAGAGGGAAGUGGAAUUCCUAGUGUAGCGGUGAAAUGCGUAGAGAUUAGGAGGAACACCAGUGGCGAAGGCGGCUUUCUGGUCUGUAACUGACGUUGAGGCUCGAAAGCGUGGGGAGCAAACAGGAUUAGAUACCCUGGUAGUCCACGCGGUAAACGAUGAAUACUAGGUGUUGGGGUUUGAAGAACUUUGGUGCCGUCGCAAACGCCAUAAGUAUUUCACCUGGGGAGUACGUUCGCAAGAAUGAAACUCAAAGGAAUUGACGGGGACCCGCACAAGCGGUGGAGCACGUGGUUUAAUUCGAAGCAACGCGAAGAACCUUACCCGUUUUUGACAUCCCUCUGACAGCAUUUGUAAAGAGUGUUUCCUUUGGGACAGAGGAGACAGGUGGUGUACUGGUUGUCGUCAGCUCGUGUCGUGAGAUGUUGGGUUAAGUCCCGCCACGAGCGCCACCCCUAUUCUCAGUAGCCCGCCAGAGAGAUGGGCACUCUGAUAAGACUGCCGGGGACAACCCGGAGGAAGGUGGGGACGACGUCAAAUCAUCAUGCCCCUUAUGAACUGGGCUACACACGUGCUACAAUGGCGGAAACAAAGGGAAGCGAACCCGUGAGGUGAAGCAAAUCUCAGAAAAUCCGUCUCAGUUCGGAUUGUAGUCUGCAACUCGCCUACAUGAAGCUGGAAUCGCUAGUAAUCGCAAAUCAGCAUGCCGCGGUGAAUACGUUCCCGG